UACGAAGGGUGCAAACGUUGCUCGGAAUCAUUGAACGUAAAGCGCACGUAGGCGGCCUUGCAAGUCGGAUGUGAAAUCCCACGGCUCAACCGUGGACGUGCAUCCGAAACUGCUCGGCUCGAGUAUGGAAGAGGGUCGCGGAAUUCCCGGUGUAGAGGUGAAAUUCGUAGAUAUCGGGAGGAACACCAGUGGCGAAGGCGGCGACCUGGGCCAAUACUGACGCUGAGGUGCGAAAGCGUGGGGAGCAAACAGG
rnacentral:rRNA from 1 species